GGACGAUUAGCUCAGCUGGUAGAGCGACUGCUUGACGUGCAGUAGGUCAGCGGUUCGACUCCGUUAUCGUCCACCA
rnacentral:tRNA from 1 species